UACGUAGGGUGCGAGCGUUAAUCGGAAUUACUGGGCGUAAAGCGUGCGCAGGCGGUGAUGUAAGACAGAUGUGAAAUCCCCGGGCUCAACCUGGGAACUGCAUUUGUGACUGCAUCGCUGGAGUGCGGCAGAGGGGGAUGGAAUUCCGCGUGUAGCAGUGAAAUGCGUAGAGAUGUGGAGGAACACCGAUGGCGAAGGCAGCCUUCUGGGCCAACACUGACGCUCAUGCACGAAAGCGUGGGGAGCAAACAGG
rnacentral:rRNA from 1 species